rnacentral:rRNA from 1 species
UGCAAGUCGAACGCGAAAGUCCCCUUCGGGGGGUGAGUAGAGUGGCGCACGGGUGAGUAACACGUAGGUAAUCUACCUUUGGAUGGGGAAUAACAAUCGGAAACGGUUGCUAAUACCGCAUAAUGCAGCGGCACCUAAUGGUGACAGUUGUUAAAGCGGGGGAUCGAAAGACCUCGCGUCUGAAGAGGAGCCUGCGGCGGAUUAGCUAGUUGGUAGGGUAACGGCCUACCAAGGCUACGAUCCGUAGCCGGCCUGAGAGGGCGGUCGGCCACACUGACACUGACAUACGGGUCAGACUCCUACGGGAGGCAGCAGUCGGGAAUUUUGGGCAAUGGGCGAAAGCCUGACCCAGCAACGCCGCGUGAAGGAUGAAAUCCCUCGGGAUGUAAACUUCGCAAGAACGGGAAGAAUAAGUAGGGGACAAUACCCCCUAUGAUGACGGUACCGUUUGUAAGCUCCGGCUAACUCCGUGCCAGCAGCCGCGGUAAUACGGGGGGAGCAAGCGUUGUUCGGAUUUACUGGGCGUAAAGGGCGCGUAGGCGGCCAGUGCAAGUCAGUUGUGAAAUCUCCGAGCUUAACUCGGAAAGGUCAACUGAUACUGCUCGGCUAGAGUGCGGAAGGGGCAACUGGAAUUCUUGGUGUAGCGGUGAAAUGCGUAGAUAUCAAGAGGAACACCUGCGGCGAAGGCGGGUUGCUGGGCCGACACUGACGCUGAGGCGCGAAAGCUAGGGGAGCGAACGGGAUUAGAUACCCCGGUAGUCCUAGCCUUAAACGAUGAAUGCUUGGUGUCUGGGGUUAUAUAGUCCCCGGGUGCCGUCGCUAACGCUUUAAGCAUUCCGCCUGGGGAGUACGGUCGCAAGACUGAAACUCAAAGGAAUUGACGGGGACCCGCACAAGCGGUGGAGCAUGUGGUUUAAUUCGACGCA